CUGACAGUGCCCGUGGGGAGGAGGGUCCUGGGAGGAGGAGAGGAGAGCGUCAGUCCCAGCACAGGGCUCCCGCUGCUGCAGGGGCUGGGUGCUGGACCUCUCAAAUGUCCAUCCCUUUGCCAUCACGAGCCCCAGCAGACCACCUCCCCGGUGUCCUGCCUCCAGCGGUGGCCAGAGGUGGGUGGGGAUGGGAGGGUACAACAGGGGGACAGGGCUGCACCCCCUUUUCCCCAGCCUCAGGCACCCUCAAGCUAAAUGUCUCUGUACCGAACACCUCUUGGGAUAUUUUCUUUCUUCAACCCUUCCUCACAAAUGAUGUUUUUUUCUUUCCCACUUCCUCCUCUGUGCCUUGCCCACAUCCUAAAGCACACAUCCCGCAACUACCCGAGGCUCUCACAAGCACGGAGCAGAGGCAGCACUACAUCCCCCGGGCCUGACACGCAAGAAGCCUUCCCAGCAGGUACCAGGCUGUGCUGAACCUCACCGAAGUCACACCUUGUGCGCUCCUUCCCCCUCGUUUACCAGAAGGGAUGGCCAGGCUGACGGGACGUGACCACCCAGUGAGAUCACCGGGGUGAAUGCAAACAAAAGGAAAUGUUUUUUUUUUUUUUUUUUUUUUUUUUUUUUUUUUUUUUUUUCACGGAAUAUAAUUAUAUUGAGGAACUUGUCACUACGGGGUGUUGUAAGGGCAGCAAGCGCAGGCAAGCCCAGCAAGGUUUGGGUGAGGGCACGGAGGACAGAUCUGUCUGUAGGUAUCACACGUUACUGCACUUCACCUCCCUGUUUCCUCCCCUUUCUCCACGAGGUGCAGGUAGGAGAUGGCUCCCCCAAAGCCCCCCAUGCUCUCGGGGGAAUGAGCCUGCGCCCGGCCCCACGCGGUGCCCACCUUUGCUGUUGAUCAUGACCUUGUAGAGGUCAGAGGGGGGCCCCAGGCUGGUGCAGUGGUACAGCAGCACCUCCAGCCCGUACUCCUUGUUGAACUCCAGGUCCGUGAUGCGGGCAGAGAGCACGGAGAUGGACGUGAUGUUUUUCUCCCAGACCAGCCGCCUCGCAGAGUCGAAGAGAUGGACGAUGAACCCGUGUGCUGGCUCGUGGUUA